GUACACAACCUUCUCCCCUAAGAGCAGUCCCUCACAGGUACACAACCUUCUCCCCUAAGAGCAGUCCCUCACAGGUACACAACCUUCUCCCCUAAGAGCAGUCUCUCACAGGUACAGAACCUUCUCUCCUAAGAGCAGUCCCUCACGGGUACAGAACCUUCUCCCCUAAGAGCAGUCCCUCACAGGUACACAACCUUCUCCCCUAAGAGCAGUCCCUCACGGGUACAGAACCUUCUCCCCUAAGAGCAGUCCCUCACAGAUACAGAACUGUCUCCCCUAAGAGCAGUCCCUCACGGGUACAGAACCUUCUCCUCUGAGAGCAGUCCCUCACAGAUACAGAACCUUCUCCCCUAAGAGCAGUCCCUCACAGGUACAGAACCUUCUCCCCUAAGAGCAGUCCCUCACAGGUACACAACCUUCUCCCCUAAGAGCAGUCCCUCACGGGUACAGAACCUUCUCCUCUAAGAGCAGUCCCUCACAGAUACAGAACCUUCUCCCCUAAGAGCAGUCCCUCACAGGUACAGAACCUUCUCCCCUAAGAGCAGUCCCUCACAGAUACAGAACCGUCUCCCCUAAGAGCAGUCUCUCACAGAUACAGAACCAUCUCCCCUAAGAGCAGUCCCUCACAGAUACAGAACCUUCUCCCCUAAGAGCAGUCCCUCACAGGUACAGAACCUUCUCCCCUAAGAGCAGUCCCUCACAGGUACAGAACCUUCUCCCCUAAGAGCAGUCUCUCACAGGUACAGAACCUUCUCCCCUAAGAGCAGUCCCUCACAGGUACAGAACCUUCUCCCCUAAGAGCAGUCUCUCACAGGUACAGAACCUUCUCCCCUAAGAGCAGUCCCUCACAGGUACAGAACCUUCUCCCCUAAGAGCAGUCCCUCACAGAUACAGAACCCUGAUAAUUUAUGUUCAUUAAGUAAUAUAAUGAACCGAUACUCUCUAUAUAAAGACUGAUAUGUGAACUGAUAUGAGGACGUGAUGAUGUUUAUAUAUUUACAUAUUUAUCUCCUCAUACGUCCUCAUGUGUUACUAUCAGUUCCACAUAUCACUUUAUUCACACAUUAGUAGUUUCCAUGGUUACGGUGUGCAACAACCUGGUACUCAUAGUAAACAAAUAAUACACACUGUCAUGUUUCUGCUCUGUAAAUAGUAUACCACUGAGGUUCUGCAGCUAGCGCACACUUCUACACACUGAUACACACUUUUAAAC
ensembl:lncRNA